GCUGGGAAGGUGAGAAGCAAGUGGACAAAUGAUGAAGUAAAGGUUGCUGCAAAGUACCAGAUGAGUUGUUCCCAGUUCCAGUUGAGUGCUCGUAAGUGGGUCACUGCCUCAGCCUGUGCUGCUGUGUGCAUCCAUUAAAUUAAAGGAAACUCAUCCAAACCUACAAACAUAAAAAGGCAUCCCUCCUGCACACCCUGUAAAGAGUGCUAAGGAAUACAGCUCUACCAAACAAGGAAAGGAAAGGAAAGGAAGAAAUGUAUGUAAGUGUACGCUGACUGGAAAGUAAGAAAUGUAUGUAAAUGUAUGCUGACUUUUUAAAAAAUGCUGUCUAAAAUAGUAAACAACAGUAUAUUCUUUAUACUGAUUUAUACCCAGCUUUGUUCAUCAUUUUCUAGAGUCAUUUUUAAAGAUUAAAAUCACAACGUGGCUUAAUGAAGAGCAUGGAGCAGUUUCUUAUCAUUGUGCUUGUGGCAGGGGGAAUUCAUGGUAAGAUCGUCUUCAUAAAGAAGCAUUAGUAUUUGUAGUGUGAAUAACUUCAGCUCAUGUUCAUGUGAAUGCAUUUUUCCCAGCUCACGUUUCAGUUGAUGAGACUACGUGUGACCUCAGGACGAACGCAUGCUCUCCUCUUCUUGAAGGAACUGUGUAUAUCCAAGUGAUGACUGAUGCUAGUGGCCGUGAACUGAAAUGUUUGAGGGUGCUUCCCAAGGGGAACAUAACUGUGUUCAAUAUAAAGAAAGAAAAAAUAACAAUGACAGACAAGGAAUUUAACAACAGACUAACGUUUAUAAUCAAGAACGGGACACUCAAGAUCUCAAACCUGAGGAGGGAUGAUUCAGGUCAAUACAGUGUUGAGAUUUUUAAUUCAAAUGGAAUCCACGAGAAAAACGUUCUUUUCACCCUGUAUGUUAAAGACGAUGGCAAAAUUAAAGGUAUGUUUUGAAACUUACUCGUGAUUUUAUAUUGUAAAGUUAAAGUUAAUUGUUCAUGGUUUCUUGUUUGUUAUUGUUACUAUCACUAAGCCUCUGCAUUUGGGUCCUCUCUGCUAAACGCGAUCUGUGCCUGCAGAUGAUGACUGGUUAAUCACAAUAAUAGGUUAUUAUUCUUAUCAGUGAUUUAGUCUUAAAUUUUAUACUUUGAAGCUACACUGAAACUUUCCACUUGGUCAGUGAGUAUUAUUAUUAGCUGCACUGAAUGAGUGCAUUAACCUGUGUGGUAGAUAUGGUUCUUUCAUAGGAAAUAUGCAGUGGUUUAACAGAAGUGUGGUUUUCAUGGGUCUUUAACUCUAUCUGCUGUGGUGUGGUAUGGAGAGGUUUAGCAAAUAAUAAGAAUAGGAACAAUAAACUGUAUUUGCAUAGCACUUUUCUUAACAGUGUGGUUCACAGAAAGAAUGAAAAAGACUUGAUGAUAAGAAGAAGAGUUUUUGACACCUGAACUGAGGUUAAGUAUUAAAAUUCAAUCACAAUGUUAACUGUGAUUAUCAUUGAAAAAACAUGGAGAGUGUAUAUCUCAACUGACUGAUAUUGACUGAUUUUAUCUAUUUGUAACGUGGUGCCUCAGGCUCAUAAUAAAUUGGCUCAUUUCACAUUAGGCUCUUCUGUGUUACAUUGUUUUCAAAGAGUACAAUUUUCAUUAUAGUCAAAGUUAAAUAAAAAAUGUAGGAGUUGUACCAAUGAGAGUACAAAUUGUUUUUGCAACAUUAUUUAUACUGUGACAGUAAAGCUGAAAGUAGCUUAUAAAAACAGUGUUUUUAAUGAACUCUGUGUAGAAUAACUUUACAUAUAUAUGUUGUUAGAUCUUACAGGAGGAGGAACCUGAAAGACCACUGGACAUUUUGUUGUCAUUUCAACGUUUCUUUGUUAGGAUUAAGUACUAGAACUACUUGGUUAAUUUUAGCAAAAAAUCUGUUUUGGAUUGAAAUGCAUCCACACACCACUCUGCACCUCAAAAAAUGAUACUUGGUGUGCACAGCUAAGGAUGUGUUUCAUACUUUCUACUUUCCAUUCAGUUAACAGUUUUUCAAAAAUUCCGACAUUAUUUCAUAUAGAUAGAUAGAUAGAUAGAUAGAUAGAUAUGUAUAGACAGAGAGAGAGAGAGAGAGAUGGACAGUCCUCUGUGAAGAUUUGAAAGAUUGAAAGAUUUAUGAUUUUCCAGCAAAUUUUUUUAAAUGUUCAUCUUGAAAAAAAGUAAAUAAAUGCUUGUUUGCAUAGUGUGCACUUCAACAAACAGUAACUUGAAAACCACAAUUCCUGUUUUAGUUAAACAUCUGAAAAUGCUAAAAAAUAAAAUAAAAAAAUAAACGGUCAUUCUUGUCAGGACUAAGCAAUCAAAAUUGUCAAUUUUGCUUCCAUUUACUUUCUAUUUGCAGGUAUGAAAACUUGCUGUGUUGGCACACAGGAUGGAUUGAUUGAUGUCAUUGUCUCUAUUGCCUCAUGUGUUUUGCCAUAACAACACGUUGACUUGUUUUUUGUUUUUUUCAUUUAUUUCAGUAGCAGGAAUUUUACCAUUGAUGGGUGGUGUUCUCUCAGCACUGAUAAUUUUCUUAGUUGUGUGUGUAGCAGUCAUCUUUGCUUGGAGAAAAAAACAAAACAACAAACCUACAAAACAUGAAGAGGAACAUGACCAAGCAAUAACGUAUGCUGAUGUCAGGUUCACUCAACAGCAAGGGAGGCAAGUUGCGCAAACAGAGGAGAUAGAGGUGGAGGCAGAGUAUGCCCAUGUCAAUUCUUCAAAGUGACCUUGGCAGACUGAACCAACAGGAGAUGAUUGUUUGUUUGCCAAGGUUCAUAAAAUCAAGGGAUUUCAGUGAAAUCAAUGCUUUUACACAGACUGCACCACUGAAGGUCCACCGAGGGAGGAGGUGAUGUCAAGAUGCUCCAAGAUGAGGUCUUUCAUAUAAUGUAAUGUCACAUCACACAAAUCGUCAAAGCUCAUAAAAUCUUGUCUUUCUAACUUUCACUGUUUUUCCAAAUUACAGCAGGACAUAUGUGUAUCCUAUAUUAGGUUACCGCUAGGUUUGACUGCAAGUACUGUGAAUGUUUUUUUGUAAACAAAGGUUAUGACUGUAAUAUAACAUAACAUGAAUUUCAAUGCAAAAAUGUUUGGGCAGUGAUGAAACAUCCAGAUGCUAACAGCUUCUCCUGUAGUUGCAGAUAAUUUCCAGUGUAAACAAAGACACUUUCCUCACCUUUUUAAAUACAAAAUAUGGUUAAAUAUUUCUAUAUAGCACUAAAUGACCAUCUCAAGAAACAUUACACAUUAAAUCCUUAGAGUAUUACAGAUUUUAAUACUGUCAAACUACUUGUUAUAGUAGUAAUAACAUUGUUAAUAAUGUAUUGUCAUCAGUCUGGGAUCUAGGGAUGGCAAAUUUUCAACACUGGCAAUAACCUAGGAUAUAGUUUAACACAUACUUUAAAUGUUUUGACAGUUACCAGUGUAUUUACAAUCAGCCUCAGUACAAAUAUCAAGAAAAUGUUCAAAGUCAGAAUAACAGUUAUGCAGUUCAACUCUGCUUCUACAAUCACACAGUUGAUUUUUUUUUUGUUACAUUUGCAUGUUAGAGCUUCUUCUUUACUGCACUGUAACAAUAUAUUUGCAAAAUGGACUAACAUUUAAACAAUGAAUUUGCUCAUUAUAGACAUAUUUACAAUGAUUGACAUGCAUGACUGAAAGAUACUUGCUUGAAUGGUUAAUUUAUGAUGCCUUUAAUUAGCACUUUCUAAUAAUGUCACACUAUUAAGCAUUGGCAUUAGUGCUCAAUUCAUUAUUUAUAUGCCAUUACUCCUCCUUAGUAAUUGGUUCUGAGCCGCUUCUUGUCUGGAGUGCUGAUGGACAAGUUGAUGAUGUAAGGCUGGAGACUCUGCGGACUAACAUGUUCACAGAGCUGAUAUGAUAGGAAAAGAUGUUAGGGAUAGAAAGACACAAGAUGGAGCGUGGUGAUUACCUGGGACGGCCCCUAAAAGUAUCAGAUGGAAGAAGAAGAGGUAAUCCUGAGCUGUCCAGACAGUUUAUAAUAAAACAUCAGAGUUCAGGGUUAAACCUCAUCUUCUGUUUCUGUCCUCUUAUUUUACUGUCUUAUUUCCUAUAUGCUGUAUUGUAUAUAAAUGUAAUCAUGAACACAGACAAAUAUUGUACAAACUGCUUGUAUUAAAAAAAAAAAUGAAUUCAUUAAAAUAUGUGCUGUAGCCUGUUCAUCAGUCCAGAUUUAAAUAUACUCAAACAGAAGAAAAUAACAAAACUGAAUAAAAGAAUAAAAGUGAGG
ensembl:lncRNA